AUGAAUUACACUGAGAGUCUUGUUUCUAUUGAGGGGAUGGUGAGUGUUGGAGAAGGAGCUGUCAAAGAAGAGAGACAGGAGGCAGCUCCACUCGCUGCAACUAAUAGGAAUGCUUCGAAUGCUAUGAUGUCAGACAAUAUGGACUGAGUCUCUCAAAAAAUUGUUGCCGUGUGUAAGUUGGUUUUUGGCUUUCUGUGAAAGUAAGGAAAGACAAUGACUUGGAGAAAUCUUGUUAUAUGCACAACAGUUGAUGGUUGUAUAAUAAUUAAAAAAAAUCUGUAUUGGAGCCCUCGACUUCUUUUAUUGUUAUUGUAAUUUUGUUAUUAAUUCAGAAUGUUCUUUGAUAGUUAUA